GUGAAUCAUCGAAUCUUUGAACGCAAAUUGCACUCCCUGGCAUUCCGGGGAGUAUGCCUGUUUGAGGGUCAGUCUAAGUAAAAUCGGGGUGUUGCUCUUUGGCGGCAUUUCGGAAUUGGGUCAUCUUAACUUUGGUAAGAGGCCUGAAAUUGAUAUCUCAGACAUCCUGGACGUGUAUAAUAAAUUCUUUAUCCGUUUCGGGUGCCAAAUCCUUACUAGGUACGAUCAUGUCGUGUGAGUUCGUGCCUAUAAUUUUCUCAUUGAUUUGACCUCAAAUCAGGUAGGGAUACCCGCUGAACUUAAGCAUAUCAAUAAGCGGAGG
rnacentral:rRNA from 1 species